rnacentral:lncRNA from 1 species
GCCCCUUCAACCAGAUCACUUCCGCUGAAAGUUUGCAUCUCCCAGUAUCAGUGUUGGGGAAGCCAAAUGAAAUCUAUCAAUCCCAGUUCAGAAUGUAAAGAAACUGAAGAUCCUCUUUCCCCAUAUGGAUUAUUAUAUCAUCAUAGCAUUUGGAGAAGCCAAGAUCAACAAAAAAGCAGUUAGCAGUGAGAGAAGCUGCAGCCUGUUGAGACUCCACAAGACUGAAGAUAUGAAAAGAGGAAAUAUGCAUGAAUGCCCGCACGGAGAACCACCCCCACCUGCUGCUCCCGCUCUAAUGAUCACGCCCAUUAUCAACUGGGGGAUGGCUCUGUGCCUUGUCCUUGCAUUACAUGGACCAAGAACACUUCACAGGACUCAGAGAGGCAAAAAUAGAUACAAAAGAAGAAGGAAUUACAGAAGAAGUCACAUAACAUUAUUGCCUACAACUGACUGUUUACCUUGAAUACUUGAAGACCAGAAUGAAGAUUCUUGGGGUGAAGAAUUACAGCCUUAGCAUGGAGCAGGCCUCGGUGCAUCGGCUUUCAGCUAGGCAUGCCUGCCAAUGUUCAACGUCCUCCUGGGAUACGGAAGGCACCGUGAUAGACAUCUGGGCAAGUCAACAGGAAGGUGGAUAUCCAAAUCUCUCUCUUCGCAAUGAGUUUCCAGUUAGAUGGAGGAGAGAGUAAUAAAACACAGAGCUGAGAUUCCUGACUUCACAGAUCCCUGAGGAGAUGUUUACUAAAGGGAAUCUUCUGGUCACUGUUACCUUCCUCCGUACUUACCUGCCUCAUGGAUAACACUGAAGAAUGCAGUUUACUUACAUCUUUUUCUGUUUGACAGAAGACAGUUAUUAGAACCCGAAAGGAAGAAGCUAUACGACUGGGGACACAUGUCUUAGAAGCACACUCAUUAGAUAAAGUGUCGCAUACUCUUUGAUAAGUGACUCAGAACACCCGUGUCCUUCCCAACAUUGGAUGCAAUGCUAAAGACAUGAUGUUGCUCCUGCUGGACCACACCUUGAAGGAAUUGCCUACCCCACCUCACCUCCAAAAUUAAAGUCUUUCGUUUUGACAAAAGUUAAUGAUAAGGUUUGAUGUGCUAAUUUCAGCACCUCCACUUCAUGUCUACACUGUGGACAUAUACUUUUUUGUUGUUUUGGGGUUUUU